UACGUAGGGUGCGAGCGUUAAUCGGAAUUAUUGGGUUUAAAGGGUGCGUAGGCGGUUGAUUAAGUCAGUUGUGAAAUACGGCAGCUUAACUGUCGAGGUGCAAUUGAUACUGGUUGACUUGAGUACAGACGAGGUAGGCGGAAUUGACGGUGUAGCGGUGAAAUGCAUAGAUAUCGUCAAGAACACCGAUAGCGAAGGCAGCUUACUAGACUGUAACUGACGCUGAGGCACGAAAGUGUGGGGAUCAAACAGG
rnacentral:rRNA from 1 species